CCCUUAGAUGUUCUGGGCCACACGCGCGUUACACUGAUGAAGCCAGCGAGUAUAUCGCCUUCACCGGAAGGUGCGGGUAAUCUUGUGAAACUUCAUCGUGCUGGGGAUAGACCAUUGCAAUUAUUGGUCUUGAACGAGGAAUUCCUAGUAAGCAUGAGCCAUCAACUCGUGCUGAUUACGUCCCUGCCCUUUGUACACACCGCCCGUCGCUACUACCGAUUGAAUGGUUUAGUGAGAUCUCGGGAUUGGAGACGUUGCGCCGCAAGGCACAUCGUCCUCGAGAACUUGAUCAAACUUGAUCAUUUAGAGGAAGUAAAAGUCGUAACA
rnacentral:rRNA from 1 species